rnacentral:rRNA from 1 species
GCUAACACAUGCAAGUCGAGCGGUAACAGAAAGUAGCUUGCUACUUUGCUGACGAGCGGCGGACGGGUGAGUAAUGCUUGGGAACAUGCCUUGAGGUGGGGGACAACAGUUGGAAACGACUGCUAAUACCGCAUAAUGUCUACGGACCAAAGGGGGCUUCGGCUCUCGCCUUUAGAUUGGCCCAAGUGGGAUUAGCUAGUUGGUGAGGUAAUGGCUCACCAAGGCAACGAUCCCUAGCUGGUUUGAGAGGAUGAUCAGCCACACUGGAACUGAGACACGGUCCAGACUCCUACGGGAGGCAGCAGUGGGGAAUAUUGCACAAUGGGCGAAAGCCUGAUGCAGCCAUGCCGCGUGUGUGAAGAAGGCCUUCGGGUUGUAAAGCACUUUCAGUCAGGAGGAAAGGGUGUGAGUUAAUACCUCACAUCUGUGACGUUACUGACAGAAGAAGCACCGGCUAACUCCGUGCCAGCAGCCGCGGUAAUACGGAGGGUGCGAGCGUUAAUCGGAAUUACUGGGCGUAAAGCGUACGCAGGCGGUUUGUUAAGCGAGAUGUGAAAGCCCCGGGCUCAACCUGGGAACUGCAUUUCGAACUGGCAAACUAGAGUGUGAUAGAGGGUGGUAGAAUUUCAGGUGUAGCGGUGAAAUGCGUAGAGAUCUGAAGGAAUACCGAUGGCGAAGGCAGCCACCUGGUCAACACUGACGCUCAUGUACCAAAGCGUGGGGAGCAAACGGGAUUAG